GACGAACGCUGGCGGCGUGCUUAACACAUGCAAGUCGAACGGGGUUAAGGAGCUUGCUUCUUAACUUAGUGGCGAACGGGUGAGUAACGCGUGAGGAACCUGCCUUUCAGUGGGGGACAACAGUUGGAAACGACUGCUAAUACCGCAUAAUGUUAUCGGGCGGCAUCGCUUGAUAACCAAAGAUUUAUUGCUGAAAGAUGGCCUCGCGUCUGAUUAGCUAGUUGGUGGGGUAACGGCCCACCAAGGCGACGAUCAGUAGCCGGACUGAGAGGUUGACCGGCCACAUUGGGACUGAGAUACGGCCCAGACUCCUACGGGAGGCAGCAGUGGGGAAUAUUGGGCAAUGGGCGAAAGCCUGACCCAGCAACGCCGCGUGAAGGAAGAAGGCCUUCGGGUUGUAAACUUCUUUUACCAGGGACGAACACAAUGACGGUACCUGGAGAAAAAGCAACGGCUAACUACGUGCCAGCAGCCGCUGUAAUAC
rnacentral:rRNA from 1 species